CGAUUCUGGCGCAAGAGAAGAAUAGAGCCAAGGGAAGAGCCAGGCAAAGAACCUCAAGAGGGCCCACUGGUGCACCUUGCAGAGGACAGUGUGGAGGAAGCCACGCCCUCUCUCCCCAGGGUAAGGUCAUCUUUCCUUUUCUGAGACAGCACAGCCAGGACAGACAAUGUCCUGGCCCUGCCUAUAAGACCAUCCCUGGGGAGGAGAUCUAGGAGGGAAAGUCACCUGUGGCCCCACACUGUCCUGGAUAAAAUAGAAG